rnacentral:ncRNA from 1 species
AUAAAAUCGUUGAGAAGAAGCAAGUAAGCUUAAAAACAGAUUUAAAGAGAGUGAUAGAUGGUGGAAUUAUCAUAAUUAUGCUUAAGCUGAAUGGGUCUUUGAGAUUCAGGAUGAACUUAAAGUAGUCUUUGACGUGAACCUCCCGUUAUAGAGGUAAGGUAUUAUAAUGUAUCUGAUAAAGGAGACUAAAUUAAUUAGUUUUGAAUUUAGGUGGCAACGCGUAUGAUAGCGCCCUAUGG